rnacentral:lncRNA from 1 species
UAGUCACUAACAUAAUGUAUUGCACUUUGACAUUAUAGCAUAAUAAAAAUUAGAAUUAUCACAAUUUAAAUAGCAACAUAUUGUUAAUAACUCUUAGGGUCAGUUCAUACGAAACUUUGUCUCGACUUUAAUUAAUCGGUUCUUUGAGUUAUAUAUAAAAAACAGAUUGUCUUGAAUUGCCCAAAAUAUAAAAAAAAAUAAUAGCAUGGUAACAUGUGAUAAAAGAAUUCUUAAAAGUAGAAAAGUUCAAAAAAGACUUGGGAAAUAGAAGUCUUUAUAUGCCCCUUUAGGACUUGACGCAACCUUUUUGAUUUAAAAACUAAGGUCUCUUGAAUCUGAGUCUAAACAUCCAUUUGUUCAAAUCAAAUAUUGCGUGGGUCAUCUAAUUCAAAGUUUAAUCAUUAAAACUUAAACUUCAAAACCAAAGAUGGAGAAAAAAAAAAGUUUUGGGACGUCCAGAAAUUCCUAACAUUUGACAGUUGAAAGAUGAAAAAGGAAAGAUAAAAGUAACCCAUAAAUUACCUUAGUAAUGUUGUGGUGACCAUCUUUUAAAUAGGCCUCGAUCACUUUGUUGUACUAGCCGGUUAUUAUUUACAAGAAAGAAUAGGGUUGGGACCAUGAUUUAUUAUUUACAGUUUGGUACUUAAACUUCUUCUUAUUUAUAUAUAACUCUUUGCAUAUUUAUAAAUUUACUAAUUAACCUCGAUAUUAUAAAACUAAAGUAUGAUAACAAAUCAAGUUUAACACGGUUCACUAUGCUUCCUGUUGCAAUUAAACUCUAAUCUUGCCCUUUUCUAUUAGAUUAUUUCUAAUUUCUAUUAGUACAACGCUUGCUAUAUUGGUUUUCGUCGGCUCGCUAAUGUAUGUGAUGAGUAAUAUUCAGGUAUAUUAUUCAUAAAAUAAUUAAAGAUCGCUAGCUUUUAUUUUUUAUGGAUUAUAAUAAUAAGUUUUUAGGUUUUAAUUGUAAUUUUGUAAAACUAAAAGGGUUUCGUUUGUUAUUCUUUUUGUAGGUGUCAACCCCACUAGAUAAAUUCUGGGUUACUUUGGGAUUCUCUUUCUGAGAUCCUAGAGUUUCGGUACACCAACAAAUAUAAUUUUUAAAUACAAUUUAAAAAACAUAUAUAGGCUAACAUGUAUACGGCAUACUUAUGUAAUUUUCAUUUAUUAUUAAUAAAAUUUUCUUUUGUUGAUAAAAAAAAGCUUUGAUUAAUUAACAUGGCAUUAGUCUUAUAAUUCACUUUACUACACAUAUUAUGGAAAUGCAAAUCAGUGCUCCCGUGGAAACCAUAGAAUCAAAGUUUGGAAUCCCUAUAAGUAAUACCCUUGUACGAUAGCCAAAAACCUCUCUCUCUCUCUCAAUUAAGAGCAAUGGCAGCAAGAAAAGAAAACAUAGUGAUGUUCCCAUUCAUGGCACAAGGCCAUAUAAUUCCAUUCCUAGCAUUAGCCCUAGAGCUAGAAAAAAUGGGUUACAUCAUGUGGGGUUGAUUGUUUGAAGGAUAUGAGGAAAGGAAAUCGAUGAUAGACAUUCACGGCAGUCUUGUAGUGGCGACGAGAGUUGGCAUCAGUCGGUGGUGAACGGUGUUACUGUUGGCAUGCUGGACCUAGCUGCAAAGGUGUUUGUAGGUUUGCUGGACCUAACUGCAAAGAUGUUAGUAGGUUUGCUAGACCUAGCUGCAACAAAGAAACAGUGAGAAAAGGUAAUCGGAGCUGUCCGGCGACGGUUCUUCGAUGACCAAGUUAGAUGACCGGAGAUGUAGAGAGAGAAAGUGUAUGUAUGUUCUUGUAGGUAAAAUCGCAUACCUUGGUGAGAACAACCGUUCUCUUUUUAUAGCCUAGCUCAGCGCGUGCCUUGACGCGCAGCUGUCUUGCCUCUAGACAGACUGCAGUUUAGCACGUGCCAAGACGCACCGACUGUUGUGUCAGUGAGUAGGUAAUUGACUCAGCCAUGUCCCUAAGGCUUGGUUGAUAGCUAGCCAUCAUGUCGUCGACGUCUCGAUCCAAGUGUGGGGCUGUCAGAGGAGACCUUGCCGUGCAACUCACCUCUCUGUCUCUGACGUGCAUUGGGAUCGCCGCACACUGUCACAUCUUGACAUAGCUCGGGUAUCUUGAUCUCUAACUUAGGUAUCUUGUCCAAUUUUUUGUUUCCUGGAUGAUUAUUUAGGAUACAAUCAAAUUGAGAUUACAUUAGAAGAUCAGGAGAAGACUACCUUUACUUGCCCGUUUGACACAUUUGCUUAUUGACGAAUGUCAUUUGGUUUAUGCAAUGCAACUGGUAUCUUCCAGAGAUGCAUUGCUUAUCGACGAAUGUCAUUUGGUUUAUGCAAUGCACCUGGUACCUUCCAGAGAUGCAUGAUGGUCAUUUUUAGUGACUUAGUGAAAAAAGUGGUAGAAGUUUUUAUGGACGAUUUUUCAGUGUUUGGGGACUCAUUUGAGUCAUAUCUCCACCACUUAAAAUUAGUUCUACAAAGGUGUGAAGAAAAAGGUCUUUGUUGAAUUGGGA